ACAGCGCUAACACACAGACGCACACAGAUACACACACAGACCUUUCAAUUUCCCAAAGGUAAAAGUGUUAGGGAUAUUUUUUUCCCCCCAGUCCCCUGAUGGGGAGCCCGUCUGCGGAAAAAGGCGUGUUGUAUUCGCUAGCGUGUUGUAAUCGCGAGGCGAUUUACUCAUUUCUCCGAAACCUCUGCUGUCCAUCUCUCGCUCCCUGUCCACCCAACGGAGAAAAGUGAUUUGGCCGGAGCGACACACCGCCCCCGGCCCAGGCGGGCAGCCCCGGCUCUUCCUGGAGGUGCCGGACCCACUCGUGAAGGGACAAUGGGGACCAGCAUUCCCACCGACCCGGGGCACAUUUGGCUCGCUGCCGCCAGUUUCCACAGCCUAUCGAGGGAUCACCUCUCGAGUUACUUGGUGUCUUCGGUGGCCGAAAAUACACUGGACUGUCACCACCACGUUUGCUAGCAGAGACAACCUGUCCAGUUUGACCUAUGGGAAUGACACUUGGGAAGCUGUGGUCAUCCUGCCUACUAAGAGCUGUAGAGCUGUGGCAUCUCCACAUGGCCAUGAAGACAUAAUAAAUGUAAUGAAAACUGGCAUUUAGAUAAAGGUGGGUGAUCUUCAUGCCCCUCGUUGACCAAACAGGGUCAGAAUUCAGCUCCUGAAAACUGUGAUGAGCCCCUCUGCCAUCAUUUUCCUAAUUGACCCAGGGGGCUGUGGAGGAUGGGGCUGGCAGUAUGGUGCUAUGUGUCAGAUGACCAAUGCAAAAGAUGUGAGGACACAGAGCAAAGUGACUAGGCUUAACAAAUUUCACUGCUUAUAUGGAAUAGCUCUUUAAAAACAGAAUAUCUUAAUUUUCACCACAAGAAAAACCCCAAAACAACCAACCAAACAAAAAACCAAACCAAACAACAACAACAACAACAACAAAAAAACACCAAACAAAAAACCCCCAAAAAACCAAACAAAACCUCCCAAAAACUCCAGCCCUUUCCUGUUGUCACAGGAAACCUUCAGCGAAGUCAAGUGAGAAAACUGAUACUAUUGAUGAAAGCCCUGCAGUUCUGUAAUAAGGGACGAGGAAAAUGUAAAUAUUGCUACAAAAUCACACAGGCAUUUGCUAUUAUAUGUUAAUAAUCUUGGUGGGGGGUUAUCUGUAGAUUAACCUUUUCUGUAGCACACAAUCCUUGGUAACCCUGUUCAAAGCAAUAAUAUGAUAACCAGCAGCAGCGGUUAUUUACUUUGAAGCCUACCCAAAAAAUGCUUUUGCUGAAAGCACCUACUAAUGUCAGCGCUUGAGCAGCUGUUACAGUGGCAACUCCCAUUUUAUGACUCACCUCCUGGGUCAGGCUAGGAUCAGCAAUGGGCUGUUCUCCUGUGUUAGCCAUGCCAUACCCAGAGCACUGGACAGAGAGGGAGCCAAGAAGACAACUUCUGUGCCCAGAAAUGUUUUUGCAGCUUGCCCUUCUUCCAUGUUUGGCCUCUCAGCUCUGCACAGACAUGGGAAAAAGGGAAGAGAGUGUAAGACAUGAUUCUUUUUCCACCAAAUGGAAGAAUUACCUCCCCUAAUCAAUCUCACUCCACCUUGGGAAUUUUAACAAAAUGCCACUGAUGUGCUUCUAUUUCUUUCCUGUAAAGUGUGUGCACUUUAUUGGGUGAGCUUUCCUUCUUAUCAGUGCUUCCUCUUCCUGUUUCCUUAGUUUUGUUUUUGUUUUAUUUUCUUGGCUAAGUUGUGCAAAGGACUUGCAGAGGAAAACUGAUCCAGAUUAUUAAUUUUCCCUGUGCCCCAAGCUUUUUUAAUCGAUGGCACUAGUUCAGUGCAGCAACUGAAUUGGAUUAGUCACUUUUCCCUCUGGAUUGAGUUUGGAGGAGGCUGAAAAGAUAGAUUGAGUUGCCUUUGGGGCUUUCAGCUUAAUUCACAACAGAAAGUAGCCAGUUCAAAUUGCUCUGAGUCUUUUGCUAAGGGAAGGUGACUCAGAUUAGUCCUUUUGUACCAUCUCACUUCCAAAUACCAUUUCAGCAUUAUUUCUAGCUGGUCUGUUUGGGUCUGAGCCAAAGCACCUUAUAUUUCCAGCAAUUCCAGUGAGUUCUGCAUCAGAUCUUUUGUGGGGAGCAGAAAGAAAUUAUCAUUUCUUUGGCUCUCCUAAUGUCAGCUUGCUGGUAAUGUCGUGCUUGCAAGUGACAGUGGCAAAGUGAGAAACAUGCUGAUACCUCACACAGUCCUGUGAUGACACACUUUGUCCUUUCUGUGUGACCCUGUGAUACAAAGUGAGGUGGCAAGAAGAAGUUACAAUAAGAUCAGGGCUUACGAUACAACUAUUUGAAUAAAGCUAGACAGAAACUCUUCCAAAAGAGGAAGGAACUUCAUUGAAAUGAGACAAAACAUAACAGAAAACACAAGUGGCUUAUGUAUGUGACAUAAGAUAGUGAAUUUACCCAUUGGUUUCCUGUUCACAACUAUCUUGCCAUAACUUAAUAACGCUGUCCAACUUCCCUUGCUGUAAUUUUCUCACACAAUACAGCUCUUAGCCCUUAGAAUUAUAUCUUUUUCAGUUCCUUAGUGAAGAAUGAAAGGGUCCACAAGCAGAAAAAGACUUGUUUCCCCUCCUUUUAUUCCAGUACAAAAGAGGACUUAGUUGUGAAGGAAAAGUUUAGGUCUCAUUGUCAGACUCUUACUAUUUACUACUUGGUUUUGGUUCUGUUUGAGGUUAGUCCUGGGACCUGAAGGCCUGUCUGGGAGACUCUCAGUGUGGACAGAAAUACCUGAGAUCUGUUACAUGUUUUUGCCAUGUUGAAGUCCUGGCUGAACCCCUAUAGAUGUAGAAACCAGCCAGCAAUUAAUUCCAAAAGCUGAAGCAGAGAAGUAUAGCUGCCUAUAACUAUACAUACCUUCUGCCUCUACUGUGCUCCUUUUGUGCAUCUCCUGGUACACGGUCUGGUUCGUUUUGGUAAUUGAAAAACUGGAGAUGCUUAGAUCAAUUCAAUUUCACAGCCUCAUAAGAAGUUUCACAAGAUAUAUUUCCAGGGGAUUCUGCCUCACUUCCAGGUGAUAAGAUUGAGUCUUAGAAUUGCUUUACCUUGAAGAUACAAUGAUUCACUGCUUUCUCACUUUGCCCAAUCUAUAGCUAUUACUUAGCAAUCAAGACUGAGAGAUAUGUGGUGCUUCCCUUGUCUGUAUUUCUGGCAUUGACUCCAUAUUUCUGAUCUUCAUUUUCUAUCCUGUAAAAAAAAGAGAAUUAUAUUUAUCUGGAAUUAGACUAAAAGUAUAAAUAGAGGUGCACAUUCAGACUUCACUCGUGGCCACUCGUUGGACUUUUUUACUUUUUUGUCACUUCUUUUUUUGUGCCUGAUGGAUUGAUCUCCUUUUCUGCAGAAUGCUGCCUCUCUGUGCUUCUAGUGGUCCCUGUGCCUCCUUUGGGCUUUGCAGUAGCUGGCACUGCUUUUCUUCAUGGAAUCACAAAAUGGCUUAGUUGGAAGGCACCUUAAAGAUCAUCUAGUUCCAACUCCCCUGCCAUGGGCAGGGACACCUUCCUCUAGACCCCAUCUGGGUUCCCUGGAUUGCUGUAUUCCAGACUCUUUGACUUUUUCUGUUCUGGCAGUGCAUGCUUCCCUAGUUCAGAUGUUUUCCCUGUUUUGGCCUAUUUUUCAGUUUACAGGAACUCUUACUUUAUUGAUCAUCAUCAGCUUUCCAUUUUACAUACCCCUUUUCCUUGGCAGCAGUACUCAGGUUCUGAAGAAAGAUAGUGGAGGGAUUAUACUAGACUGAGCAGUAAAUGGACUAUCUCAAACAGUACUGCCACAGGAAAGAUCCCAGGGUGAUGGCACUCCUGUUGUCAAGUGCUCUGGAAGAGAUGAAAGAUGUGGGCCAACAUGAACCAACAAAUGGACUCCUGGAAGUGAUCAGGGUCAAACUGCAUUAAAUACACUGCUUUUGCCUCUCUUCUCUGGCUAGCAUGCAGGAAAGUAAAACUUGUCAUUUAAACUUGUGUUUGCUUUUUAUUUGUCACCACUAAGUGGCCAAUGGCACUGUCCACUGCUGGAGCAAAUCCAUAGCUGACGUAUGGUUAGGUUAUGACAUGCCUGUGCUGGGAUAACAGCAGGGGUAGCCCAGUAAAAGCCAGUCUAAAAGACUGGUUUGCCAGCACAGAGUCCACCUCCUGGCACUGCAUUUGGUAGGUACAACUGUAUUGCCUGCACAGCUAUCCAAGUGAUCUUUUUCCAGUGUAAGUUUAACUUUGGAGUGCUUCUGUCUUGAAACAAAAUAGUCAGAUAGGAGAACUACUAUAGAUGGCUUAUUAAUAGUGUACGCUCACAGUUUAUGACUCUGCCUUUGAUUUUACCACUUUGAUAAAUUUUUCAUUUUUUAAAAUAUAUUUUUCAUUUUUUUCAUCUUAUCAGUUUGAUAAAAUCAGAUGAAAAAGGAGAGUAUUUAUCAUAUGGUCACCAGAAUGUUAGAUUGACCACAGAAUACGUACCCUGGAAAAUCACUCAUUGUGGAGAUGCAGAUCUGCAAUAAAACAUAAAAUGUCAAUCAGUUGUACUGAAUAAGCUAUUUGAGGACUCAGUAAUAAGUGGACAAAGUAAUUUUCCUAACAUUUGAGAUAAAAGGGUUUCUUGCUUUGUAAAUAAUAUUUUUAUUUUAAAUAAAAAGGACCUACCAUUCUUUCUUCUUGCACCUUCAAAUACUUCUUAGUGUCACAGUAAGUGUCUCUCUGGCUCAGAUAGGUUAGUACAUAAAAUUCUGCUUUGCUUGCUCAUGCACUGAAUUGGUAAUAUUCUGGUUUAUUCUUUCUAUUAAAAAUGAGAGAUUUCCCAUCUGCUACAAUCCUGUGGAUUUCUAAAUCCAUAUGAGGAAAAAAAUCUACAUGUCCUAACUUCUUAGAAAAUGUAUUUAGUGAGGAUUUCAAUUGAGUCUUUCAACCUCUGGCUCCUCAUCUAACAAAGGUUCUUCUCAACAGAGAAGGAUCAGGAGAGGUGUUCAGGGCUCAGUAAUUUCACUCUGUGGCUUGACUACAGUUCAAGACUUCAAUGGUCUUCAACUGCAAUUUUUCUCCCUAGGCCUUCUUAUUAUCAGAGCCUUCAAAAGGAAGCAAUAGAAUCACUCAGACUUUUACAGAUCCCUGAUGCUGCAUUCUUGAGAAACCAGUGUAUUGCAAUUCUUUUCUUCUCUUUUUGUCUGACCAGUAUAUGAAAGCAAAGAAUAGAACAUGCAUCUGAUUGUUAACCAGUACUUAUAUUUAACACCUGAAUCAUAUAGUUUUUAAUCUUUAUUGAGUGAUUAAGAAGAAGAAUACUUCAUUUCCCAUGUAAAUAAUUGAAACCAAAAGUGUAAGUUUUUUUAAAACUCCGGGUUUAGGGAGCCCUUCAUUCCAAAAUUUCUUAGAAGUUAUUGUCUAUUUUUUUUUCUUCCUGAUAUAGACCAUGGUAACUCUUAGAUUAUGCCAAAGGUUACAGAAGUGUUCACAGCAUGGACUAAAACUUCACACAUAACACUAUUUCAUUAUCCCUUCUGUCAUUCAUGUUCCUGAAAGUUCCACGUAGCAUAUUCAGCAAUUGCUGACAUGGAAGUAUAAGCUUAGGAAACCUAAACGUUUCUGAGUACCUGUAAAAUACCUUUUUUGUUGUUGUUAAAUAACCUUGUGCUGUUUUGUUCUGUUCCCAUAACACCAUAAAAGGUGUAUUUGAAAUGUGGCUUCUUGCUAAGCUAAAGAACAUCAUGUCUAUGAUGUCAUGUCAGCAUUUAUGGCCUGAAAGGCAGCUAGAUAUUUCAGACUUUAUCCACACAGACAUGUUUCACCAUUCACAUCAAUGCAGCCAUACAGAUACAGUUAAACAAGAAUAACCCUACCUGUGAACUGCUGUCCCACCAUAAAAAUGCUGUGUCCAGUUCAAUUAAUAGCCUUUCCAGAGCAAUAUAAGUCCAAAUUGGAAAAAGGUUCACUUCUAGAGUGUUCACAUGAGGCUUCCAGGCUGCUCCUUGAAGGGCCUUGCAGCUGUCCAUGGAAGCAGCUUUCUCUGGAUCGAUCAGUAACACAGCAAAUGCUCUACCAGACUCUCAGCUCCACAGAGCCCUGCAGUUUGAGAACCACCACCUCUUGCAUCAGUUGAUGUGAUACAAAUAGGAGCCCUCUGGACAUGAACUUUUAAUUCCUAUACCAUAAUUGCGCUUUAGGCAUUACCACAAUAUGACCAGGCAUAAUGACAUAAUUGCAGAAUUUUAAAUCCUGUUUCAAGGGAUUUAACUCCUUUAUUUUUUUUUAACCAUACCCCAAGUCAAUAGAUAUUUUCAUAGAAAUAAAUCUAUUGUUGUAAGAUGUCUCCCAGCCCAAAGACAUGUGUCUGGUAAGACUCCAGUGAUCUGUAAGCUUAGAACAAAGCAGAAGAACAUGCCUCCUAUAGAGAAUACAAUGUUUAAGGUGUCAGUGAAACUGCACAGCUUUGUGGCACUUUGGGUGGCAAUUGUACCACACCCUGAAAGGGUUUGUUUUCAAAACUGAGGUUGAGAAAAAAUGUAUAAAAGACACUGAACAACAGAUGUCAAGAGUACUUCCUCUGCUAGGUACAGUCAGAAGGAGAGUUGCUCUUUGAAGAUUUGCACAUAAAUUGUUGUGUCCUCAAAAAUGAAAUUUGCAUUUCAGAUCUCAGAAUUUAUGUAUUGAAACUACAGGCAGUCUUUACAGCGUAGGCUGAUAUGAAAGGCAUAUUAAUAUGAUUUUUUUAAAACAGCUAAUAAGAAAACAGCGUAUUACCAUUUUUUCUAGGAAUUUGCUGGCAAAAAACUUGGAGAUUUUUUAAAUAGCAGAGACAGGACUAACACCUUUCCAAUUCCACUUCUAAAUUCUGCCAUUAUUUUUGCUUUAAACCUCUGCUAAUCUCAGAUGAUGCCCUUUUUUUUGUCCAUGCCACAGAAAGACAACAUUCAACCUACUAAAUAUACAGUGUCACACAGGACAAACAAUGCAGUAUGAUCAUCUGCAACCUGAGAAACUGUGGGUUUAUUUAAAAUGACAGUAUUUCACCAGCUUGCCUUUUAUUUAAGUUCAUUGAGCCUCAUGUACUGACUUAUAAAGUCAACAAUAUUCUUUUCAUUAGUUUAAUCUGUUUCAAAUCAAGCCAUUGGAUAGGAGCAGAUUUUUAGAAGCAACUCCUUAUUGGAAAUGCUGCUGCUUUCUGCAACUCGAAGAUUGCCAUUGGGGCAAUCCUUUAGUUGCCUUAACAUCUGUGCUGUAGCCAUGUGUUUUGGAUGUGUUACACAGGUAUUGGGGGUUUCUUUAGUUUACCUGCCUUGAUAUCCAUUCAGUUAUGUUCUUUCCACUUCUAUGAAAUAUUAUUUUCCUGUCUUCCAGUUUCUGUGCUAUUGGCCCUUCCUCUGUGCUUAUCAAAAAAAGCAAGAGAAGGGACAGUGUCACACUUGAAUGAUUUUUAUAAGGUUGGGAUAUACUGUGGUUUCACAAUAAGAUAGCCUGGCCAAUGGAGUUUGUAUAUAGAGAUUUUUCAGUUUUGUUACAGCUAUGGGAUUAGGCAGCACAGUAAAGGAACAGAAGUCAAGAGAGGGAUUCUGACUUUGCUUUGGCACAACUCUAUUGAGUUCAGCAGGCUUACUCCAGAUUUACACUGGAAUAAAGGGAGCUCAGAGUGAAGCCCAAUAGAUCAGUUUACUGUGCUUUUGGAGGCAUCAAUUUACUCAGUCACUUGGAAAAUCUUACUCCCUUACUGCAAAGAUCUGGGACAAUUCACAUUUCUAAUGUAUUUGUAGGUCUACUCUGUGAUGUGUAGAUGUGUUUGCUUAGUAGAAUUAGGAAUCUGUUAAGCAAAUUUCAUAUAGCAAGCCCUUCCCUCUCUUAAGGGCAAAGGAGAAAAUAAGAUGCACAGGGAAUUUCCCACCCCUGUAGGAAGACAAAAAAAAUAAUGAGUGCUGCUGGCCUGUAACAGACCUGGAUGUAGCCUUCUGCUUGCUUACAGAGCCCCCAGAAGAGAACACAGACACAGGUCUGAGUGCUCUUGUUCAUGGGGAAAAGGAUGCCAAGAGCCUGCUGUGAGGAGCCCUGUCCUGACUGAUAGGAUUUCUCCCACGCUCAACAGCAGCUUUUCUCCCCUUCAUUGGAUGGACAGCAUUUUUAUUUGUCUUUUAAAUGGCUUAAUAUACUCCCAUUUUUCUGUAACUGAACAGACUUAAGCAAACUUGGAGCUGUGGGCAAAAAGGCUGUUUGCUUUCUGUAUCAGCGGCAGCUACAUGAAGUAAGCUUAUAUAUGUUGCUGUUUGGAGUUUUUCUGACAGAUUCGGUUUUUUUUUUUUUUUUGGUCCUCCUCAAGGUGUGAAUUGCCACUUGGCAAAAAAGUAUCUGGACACUAGAAUGUGUCAUUUAGUGCCCUAAAUGUUUAUGUCCAAACCCCUGCCACCGAUGACACAACAUGCUGCAAGAACAAAAGUCUGUUGGCUGGAGUCUGAACUGGUUUCCUAAUUCACACCUGUGCAUUGGCAGGCAAGCAGCCAUCAAUCACAGACUCUUGCAUAUCCUGGGUAUGCUGUUAUGGGCAGGGCUGGAAACAUUUCUGAGUGCUGAUGGGAGGGAUUGGGUAAAAAAAAAAACAAUAGAAGAAAAAUAAGAAAGCAAAGGUAAUAGAUUUAUAGGAAACAGGGCUGUGAAGGAUAUCAGGAGGCUGAAUUGACAAUGCUGGUCUCAUUCCUGACAGAAGAGAUUAAAAAUGAUCUCUUUGAAAUGCAUUAUGGCCACAGAGCCACAGAUAAAAUUUGUUAGAAAAAAAUUACUCUCUACAUCUGCUAAAUCUUAAAGCACCUUCCCAGAGUGGUAGACAGGAUUUUGAGUUGCUGUACAAAAGUUGCUAUAUCUUGUUUUAUUUGAGUAUGUAUAAAAUAUCUGUAUAAAAUAUUUAUCUACAGGAUGGAAGAGUAUAGGUGUGUAUGAUUUUUGUAACACUGACAAGAAAUGGAAUUUUCCUAGACUGAGGCUUGUGCAACAUGAUUGAAAUUGGGCUCAUAACCAGCUUGUACAUCUUUCCGGUUUUUGGAUGGAUUUUGUGUUUAAGAAGUAGAAGUAAAUAAAAGCAGAUAAAAAAAAUGUGACUACUAUGCAGCUAAAUCAUCUUUGGGAAGGUAUCAAGGCCAGGUCUCCUCAUUAGUUUCUUUCUUCAUUAGUACUGGAAGAACAAAGAACAGCAUUUACUCUAUAUUCUAAAGAUUAAUUGAAGUGGGGGAUGGAGCAGUGAAAUUGAAUUAGUAAAUUAUUAACCAAUUUCUAAGUAAUAAGAAAUAAUCUAUUACAGAGGCUAUCCCUCCAUCUAGAGAUUUGUCUUGAGCAUUUGUCUUUGGGAGAGAUGAAAGGAAUAAAGGGAUACAGACUAGAGACAAUCCAUCAAGUCAACUAUUGGAACAUGAAUAAUGAAGACCUUUGAACUUGGCAAAUCUUCCAGAUCUCUCUCCCUUAACUGUGACUUACAGAUUGUUUCAGGGUUGCUGCUUAAUCUAAUAGUCUCUUUUUAAUUUUGCC